CCUACGGGUGGCAUCAGUGAGGAAUAUUGGUCAAUGGGCGUAAGCCUGAACCAGCCAAGUCGCGUGAGGGAUGAAGGUUCUAUGGAUCGUAAACCUCUUUUAUAAGGGAAUAAAGUGUGGGACGUGUCCUGUUUUGUAUGUACCUUAUGAAUAAGGAUCGGCUAACUCCGUGCCAGCAGCCGCGGUAAUACGGAGGAUCCGAGCGUUAUCCGGAUUUAUUGGGUUUAAAGGGUGCGUAGGCGGCCGUUUAAGUCAGCUGUGAAAGUCUGUGGCUCAACCAUGGAAUUGCCGUUGAAACUGGGAGGAUUGAGUAUGUUUGAGGCAGGCGGAAGGCGUGGUGUAGCGGUGAAAUGCUUAGAUAUCACGCAGAACCCCGAUUGCGAAGGCAGCCGGCCAAGCCAUGACUGACGCUGAUGCACGAAAGCGUGGGGAUCAAACAGGAUUAGAUACCCCUGUAGUC
rnacentral:rRNA from 1 species